rnacentral:rRNA from 1 species
UAGGGAAUAUUGCUCAAUGGGGGAAACCCUGAAGCAGCAACGCCGCGUGGAGGAUGAAGGUUUUAGGAUUGUAAACUCCUUUUGUGAGAGAAGAUAAUGACGGUAUCUCACGAAUAAGCACCGGCUAACUCCGUGCCAGCAGCCGCGGUAAUACGGAGGGUGCAAGCGUUACUCGGAAUCACUGGGCGUAAAGAGUGCGCAGGCGGGCUUGUAAGUCAGAUGUGAAAUCCUGUAGCUUAACUACAGAACUGCAUUUGAAACUAUGAGUCUAGAGUGUGGGAGAGGUAGGUGGAAUUCUUGGUGUAGGGGUAAAAUCCGUAGAUAUCAAGAGGAAUACUCAUUGCGAAGGCGACCUACUGGAACAUUACUGACGCUCAUGCACGAAAGCGUGGGGAGCAAACAGG